UUAGUGUGUUUUGGGCCAUAUUCCAUUAUAACCAAUACAUAGAACCAAUACAUACCAUUAGAGACCAACAAAGACCAAUACACUGUAGUGUGUUUUGGGCCAUAUUCCAUUAUAACCAAUACAUAGAACCAAUAGAACCAAUACAUACCAUUAGAGACCAACAAAGACCAAUACACUGUAGUGUGUUUUGGGCCAUAUUCCAUUAGAACCAAUACAUAGAACCAAUACAUACCAUUAGAGACCAACAAAGACCAAUACACUGUAGUGUGUUUUGGGCCAUAUUCCAUUAUAACCAAUACAUAGAACCAAUAGAACCAAUACAUACUAUUAGAGACACAAAGACCAAUACACUGUAGUGUGUUUUGGGCCAUAAUCCAUUAGAACCAAUACAUAGAACCAAUAGAACCAAUACAUACCAUUAGAGACCAACAAAGACCAAUACACUGUAGUGUGUUUUGGGCCAUAUUCCAUUAGAACCAAUACAUAGAACCAAUAGAACCAAUACAUACCAUUAGAGACCAACAAAGACCAAUACACUGUAGUGUGUUUUGGGCCAUAUUCCAUUAGAACCAAUAAAAUUCCCAAUAAAACCAAUAGAAUUUCUGUGAUGGUGUCUAUUGGUUUUUUAACAGGGAUGUGUUUGGGAUACUCAAGUGCUGGUGUCCCCACCGAGCUUAAGCUUCGCUGUUUGACUAGCAUUGUUUUGCUAGCUAUGUAUAGGUCCACCAGCUAGACCAUCAUGGACAAGCCUGGAAAUUUAUGCUGGUUUUCUCAGCAGGGAUGCCAUCAUAUCAGCACGGUUUCAAGCAAUACUACUCCAAUGUGACACUUCCCGUCGAGCGAGUGACGGCUUAGCCUCGCAACAGGAGAUUAUGACUGUUUGAGUAGCCAGUGCUAAAGCACAGCUGGUGACUUUCUGCCUUUUGAUGAUGGGUGUUCACAUCAGAAGAGCUUGUAAACAGCAGCGAAUGUUUAACUGCCUUUUGUUAAAAAGCUGAUCCGUCCAUAUUUGCGUGGCUGUAACGGCACUCUGUCGCAAACGGUUCGCUAAACUGUCCGUUGUUUGUUUUACUAUGAGAAACUUGUGAUAAAUCUCAGUACAGCUUGAUGAAGCUCAUAUAACAGCCAUGGCGUGAUGAAGCUUUUUGAAGUACGGCUAUAGAAGCUUUUUUUCUUUAUACUGGCAUCCAGUCAACUCCCAGAGACCAAAAUCUGCAUUAAUUGAUUAUUUAGGUUAGCACCAGACCACGGCAGCUGCGUAGCAGCGGACCCCAAAUAGAAAUAAAUCAUUGACUUUUUUUCAAUUAAGUAGGUUAAUAACUGAAAACGGUCUGUAAUGUUUUAUUUAAUUUUGGGGCAGGGACGGCGGAACGGGACAGCACAUGUUACGGAGGGCUGAAGGAGGCGCAGCGAGCUUCGUUUGCUCCGAAGUGUGAGCUGAGCUAUAGACUCGGAGAAUGAUAACCGCCCCUUAGGCCAUUCCAUAUUAAACAAGUGCUUUGUAAGUGUGCCAUCAUUACUAUUCAUCACAAAUAAAUACUUAAGCACAGAGAGCUUAGUACCCCGCUGUUAUACAGUUCUCCAUUAUUACUGUGGCCUGGCCGUCUGGCUGCCUCGGCUGCAGUAUGCCCAGGCUCUUUCUGUGUCCUUCAGCCUUCUAUAGAGAGCGAGGGAGAGAGCGAGAAAGGGAGGGGGUGACAUAUAUGCCUGUCCGGCCUGCCUGCUAUUGCCCUUUAAGCAGAAAAGAAAGUAAUUCGGGUUGAAACAGCAUGCGGGCAGCCGUACACUGGGCUGGGUUGGCUGUGUUGCCGGCUGGCAGAGCUUGGCACGCGGGCUGCGCUCUGGAUGUGCGAAGAUGAAUUGCAGGCACAAUGCGGGCCGGCAGCCGGCGAGGAGAACCACCAAGCGGCCGUCAAGCCCCAUCAGCGUCUGCCUCUGUGAAGGGGGAAAUUGUGGAGACAGCGCUGACAACUUAAUUUAACACCAAGCUAGAGUGAGACUGCGCACUGGAUAAUUGAUAAUGUUGCCACACACACAUAAAGACACAAGCACAGUAAAGCAACCAAUCGUUGAGGACAAUAGAUGUUGAAGCCAGACAGUGACUGCUUGAGAAAUCUCUGGGCACGGCUGAGUUAAAGGGCAGCCAGCGAACGUGGCGCACUCCCCGUUCGCCCCGCCGAAACGGAGGCAGGAGGAAUUCACGCAGACCAGAGAAAAGAACGAGUCUUUGUAACAUAUUUGCCCAAAAGGCCUUCGACUGUGUAAUGCACCUGCUGUACACUCAACAGCUGUCUAAAGAAAACUGCAUUGAUUUUGUGACACCUCUGGUUUGGGAAGAGCAGCGAACAUGAAAUCUGUUGUCACAGCAAAGCUUCCUGGAUCACUCUCUCAUUUCUGCGUCAGUUCUCAUGACCUGAGGCAGCUUAUAGCAAUGUGCGUUCUUCUAGCGGAAAUCAGAAAUCAAACCAAUAAGGAAUGGGACAUCAUAUGGUUGUAUUGGCCAUUGUGCUUUCUCUUCAAAAACAUCAAAUCAGUCAGAAGUAUAAAGUAAGUCACUGUCACUUUCAUGUCUGUGUUUUUCUUCUGAGGUGUGAGAGGUUCUUGUUAUAUGUCAUGUGUUGUGCCGAGGUCUGUAGGACUCCAAAGGGACUCUCACCUGUGUGUGGAAAGCUGUGAACCCAUCAAACCGACAGAGAGCUUUGUGAAGACAGGCAUGAAGCAGUCUGCACCCAUAGCACACGUCACGGCCUGUUAUGAGAAGCUGAACGCACUAAAGAGCUGGUCGGGCACUGGAUCAUUUCCUUGUUAGCCCCUGGUCCUUGCCUUGGCCUGAAGUCAUCGCUCAGUUAGGCAGCUGCCAGGCCAGCCCUGAGGGUCCCCGGUGGUGAGUAAAGAGUCAAGGGUUGGUCACUAGAUGUGGAGUGCAUUUUCUCUACUCUUAUGUCCAAUUAGGAGCUCUUUCAAAACAAACAGGUAACAUUUACCAUGUCUAAUACUGCCUACAGGUCAUAGAUGUUGCAUUUCAGUUAUUCACGCUACAUUGAAGUUUAUCAGUAUUACAGUAAAUACAUGCUUUUAUUGUUGUUAAAAACGAAAUGAAUAAAAUCGGACCUGAACAACAAAUGCAAUGGCUGUAAGGCUCU